rnacentral:rRNA from 1 species
AUUGAACGCUGGCGGCAGGCUUAACACAUGCAAGUCGAGCGGAGUGAUGGUGCUUGCACUAUCACUUAGCGGCGGACGUGUGAGUAAUGCUUAGGAAUCUGCCUAUUAGUGGGGGACAACAUCUCGAAAGGGAUGCUAAUACCGCAUACGUCCUACGGGAGAAAGCAGGGGAUCACUUGUGACCUUGCGCUAAUAGAUGAGCCUAAGUCGGAUUAGCUAGUUGGUGGGGUAAAGGCCUACCAAGGCGACGAGCUGUAGCGGGUCGGAGAGGAGGCUCCGCGACGCUGGGACUGGGACACGGCCCAGACUACUGCGGGAGGCAGCAGUGGGGAAUAUUGGACAAUGGGGGGAACCAUGAUCCAGCCAUGCCGCGUGUGUGAAGAAGGCCUUAUGGUUGUAAAGCACUAUAAGCGAGGAGGAGGCUACUUUAGUUAAUACCUAGAGAUAGUGGACGUUACUCGCAGAAUAAGCACCGGCUAACUCUGUGCCAGCAGCCGCCGUAA